rnacentral:rRNA from 1 species
GAUGAACGCUGGCGGCGUGCCUAAUACAUGCAAGUCGAGCGAACAGACGAGGAGCUUGCUCCUCUGACGUUAGCGGCGGACGGGUGAGUAACACGUGGAUAACCUACCUAUAAGACUGGGAUAACUUCGGGAAACCGGAGCUACUACCGGAUAAUAUAUUGAACCGCAUGGUUCAAUAGUUAAAGACGGUUUUGCUGUCACUUAUAGAUGGUUCCGCGCCGCAUUAGCUAGUUGGUAAGGUAACGGCUUACCAAGGCAACGAUGCGUAGCCGACCUGAGAGGAUGAUCGGCCACACUGGAACUGAGACACGGUCCAGACUCCUACGGGAGGCAGCAGUAGGGAAUCUUCCGCAAUGGGCGAAAGCCUGACGGAGCAACGCCGCGUGAGUGAUGAAGGUCUUCGGAUCGUAAAACUCUGUUAUUAGGGAAGAACAAAUGUGUAAGUAACUAUGCACGUCUUGACGGUACCUAAUCAGAAAGCCACGGCUAACUACGUG